AUGUAUAUAUAUAUAUAUGAACUCCUGUUUGCAAGCAAUUACAGACUUACAGACGUUCCCAGGAGGGGGGACCCCAAGGGGACAUUGACCAUCUGGGCUAUAUCCCUUUUCUCAAGCAGGCAGGGGAUAUGCAGUGAGGAGGACACAUGGCCAAGGAAUCAAAGUGCAGGGAGGUGGGGAGAGAAGUCAAAACCCAGGGCAGUGGCGGAGUCUGACUCCAUGAGCUCUUGGAGUGGGCAAGGUGCUCAUAAAGGGAGGUCAUAUGCCCAACCCAUCCAUGUGCCUAGUGCUGGGGCUCGGUGUCUCAGCCAGGAGGGGGCACAGAGCCAGCCUCGUGUCUGCAGGCAGCUCCUGUUAAUUGCAUGCUGGGCAUUGGGCUUCACCAUCUAGAGUGAGGUCCCAGUUGAGCAGGCAACAAGGCACAGUCCAGGUCCUUGAAUGAGUUCACGGUUUAGGAAGGGAAGCCAAUCUUGUCAGGUCUGUUAAGAGGACAGAAAGAAGGAGGACCCCAGGAAUGCAUAGCAGGGGCGGCCCCGUGAGGGUCAGGAGGUCAGCGAGUGUUUCUCUGAGGAGAUGGUGUCUGGCGGGGUCUUGGAGUAGGAAUUGCCCAGACGAAGAUGGAGACGGGCAGGGUGCUCAGGCGGAGGCGGUGGGGAGCACAGCACACUGAGAGAUUCUUCUCAGUGGAUUGAGAUGAGUUGAGAAAUUCAUCGGGGCAAGGGAGGUCCUCCCUCCUCAUCACUUUGGUCCUGAAAUAGGGUCAUUUUCAGCAGAUCUCCUGAAUGGACACACUGAGCCUGCUACUGUCACUGCUUCUAAAGCAAAUUCCCCAGGGGCCAGGGGAGGACCUGUGUGGCACAGGCUUUCUGUGGUGGAGGCACUGUGGUCAGAGGCUGUGCUCUACUGCCUCAUCCCUGUAAGGUACCCGCAGCCCAGGGCAGGGCAUGUUAUGCUGACUCCUCCUCCUCAUUCCCCUGUCCCGCCUCCAGCCCAAGACCACAUUAAAGGACUUCCUACUUGGAUGCGGGCCCAGGUUGGAGCUCAUUAUAGCCCAGUGGCCAGGCCCUCCAUUUUCCCUUCCAGGUUAAGACUUGGCAGGCAUCAAAGGUUGCAGGAACACCCCACAGGCCUUUUCCCUUAAUCGUCUCACUCCUGCCCUGUCUGCGUGGCCUCCUUAGCUGAGCUUUUCCCACCAGAGCCUCUGGUGACUUUCCACAAGUUUCCCUUCAUUCCAGCAAGCAGAUUCAGUGACUAAUUGCUGGUAAUUUUUUUCCUCAAGACUCUAUUUAUAUAGGCUGUCGUGUUGGGGGCGGGGGAAAGCGGGCUGUAGUCCUGGGAGGACGGCUGCUGUUCCCUGCAACUGCCAUCAUUAGACUGAGGCCUGUGUGGCAUUGAUGUCCACACUUUGUCUUUAUUCUUGUAUUUUUUUGUCAUUGCGACAUUUGGUUCUUUGAACAUCUAACGUCUCUUUUAUGCUUCUCAUCUCCCACAGAAGAUUGUUGUAUUUUGUCCCCCACUGAAGCUGCAUUUUCUUUUUGUCAGAUUUCUCACUUUCUUCUUUAUUGUAUUUUGAUCAGUGCAGCCAUGUAGGUCUGGGUUUUAUGGGAGCUUUUCAUCUUUGGGCCAGUGGCCCUCACGGCCUGGGUCUUUUGGCCAAUGCUGGGCCUUGCCUCAGGCCCCUGAAGCAGGACUUUCCCACCAGGGUGACAGAGACCCAGCUUGUUAUCUGUCCAGGGAUACUGUAGUCUAGUGGUUGUCAAAAUUAAGCAUGCCUCAGAAGCACCUGGAAGCCUUGUUAAAACGCAGAUGGCCAGGCCCCCCUCUAAUGGUUCUGAUUGAGUGAGUCUGGGGUGAGGCCUGAGAAUUUGCAUUUCUAACUAGCUCCCAGAUACUGCUGAUGCUGCUGGCCCAGAGAUCAGACUUGGAAAACCACUGCUUUAGAGUAAUUCCUCCUUGACCUUCAGCCAGAGUUUCCGGGGCCCAAGCAAGGAAAAAACAGCAGGGCACCAGGAGAGCCAGGCGGCUGGGUCGUCCACUCCUUAGGAGCUGCUGUGGUCCCUAUCCUUUCACUGCCCAGCCCUGGGUGGUGGUCCUUGGAAGAUUAGUUUGGAGGGAAGCUAAGUUAAGUCUGCCAUUUUAGUGGUUUAUUCUUUCUGCCUUGCCCACACCUUCUGACUCAGGACAUUUACAGCAGUAAUGGGGGUUUGAGUAGAAGGUUAGUCUUGAUCAUGCUAACGAUAUUGAACCUGUUGAAAAUUACAUAUCAGGUACUGUUACGUUUGGUAUCUCAUUUAAUCCUCACAACAGCCUCAUGAAGUAACCUUCAUUUUACAGAUGAGGAAGCUGGGUCUCAGAUAGGUUAAUUGACCUGUCUCAAGUUUGUAUAGAAAGAAGUCCAGGAUUCAAAGUCAAAUCUGUGCGGCUCCAGAGCCCUUGGUCUUUGCUAUGCUGCUGUAACGGUUCCCUCUGGAGAACUGUUAUCCCCCUCCAUGGGUGUCUUGCUUUGGCCUGUUCCCUGGAUCCCCUGCCUCUCAGCUCAAGGUCCAGGUUCCCGGACCAUGAAAGUGCUUUGUUCACCUUUGUGUCUUCCGUAGAACUUAACACAAAGCCUUAUACAGAGUGACCAUAUGUUCUGUUUAUGCCUCUUGUCCCAGUGCAGUAAUUAAUUGUGCCCCUUUCACUCUUAGAAGUGUCCCAGUUUGAACAAUAAAUUGUGUGGUCACCCUACUUAUGCACGGCCCUCCCAACCCAGGGACAAUGGCAUGUUAAUAGAGGACCCUGAAAGAAUUGUCUUUAAGGCUCAAGUAAAUCCCAGAUGGUGAAAUUUUCAGGGUUUACAUCACAGUAGGCAAGAGAAUUUAGACAAAGAUUCUGCUCAGCACCCCACAAACCUACCACAAAGGACUAUUUCUAACACCUGACUUGAGGCUUAUGGGGAUCAUCAGGCCUGUGAUGAGAUUUGUAGAGGCAGGAGGACAAGCAAGGCAGGAAAAGGGCAGGGAGAGCAAAAAGCUGUAGCUUCCCCACCUUCCCAGGUGGGAAGGAGCCCCUACCUAGCAUUUGAUUGUUCCCAAGCCCCUAGCCUCCCUUCAGGAAAGAGCUAAUGGGGAUUGGCCCUCUUCCCAGUGUCACCCUCAGCCCUUGGGCCCUGGGCUCAGCUUCCCCACACUUUCUUGUUGGGGCCGCAUUCCCUCAGGCCCUGCCCUUGUACCCUGGACAUCGGUCCAUACUCAGCCAUGGUGUGUGCCAGUCACAUUCCAGGCUGUGUCCUUGCACCAUUUGCAGGCAGCUGAAAACUGCUGUGCAUAUGUCAGUUCACACUUGAACUGGUUUAAUGUUUUUUUCUUUUAAGUUGCAAUCUAAAAUUCAGCCAGACAGGCUUUAACGAGCACUAAAUCGUCAAGCCUUUUGUUUCCCUUGCUAUUCAAGCCAUAGAGAUUUUGUGUUUGAUUCAGCAACAAUUGCUGAAUCUUAAACAAACCAUUUACAUUUUGACAUUAACUAUUUUAUGAGUGUAACUUUUUCUUUGGCAUUAGAAUGAUUCCAGCAGAAGGCCUUUUAAUGAUUUAUCAGAAACAGAGUUAAAAGGCUCUGUGGAAGGUGAUUCUUAACAUUUUCUUUUGGGGAAAAAAAGUAGGUUUUUAUCUGCCUUCAGUUGGGCAGUACAUACAGAAUUUUAGCCUCUCUCCUCUAUUUUAAUAACUUUUGAUCUUGUCAAGGUCAUUCCUCCAGCAUGCCCUCCCACUCAGCACCUCCAUUUUUCAGACAACCUUCAUGCCCAGUAGCUUCUCUCAGAGUAGUUCUUUGCACAUCUCUUUCGGCUGUUAAUUUUAUCUGAUAGAAGCAGGAACUAUGUUCGUUCUUUGCUCUAGCCCUGGUAUUCUUAGCUGAGGCCCCUGUGCACACUAGGCAUGAUCAGUAUUUGUCAACCAGCUGACUGGACAAAGAGCCUCAGACAAACAGCAUGUUCGCAAACGAAGCCAUUCAUCGUCUGUCCCUGGAAGCUGUAAGUAAUUGGAACUUUUCCUCAGUUCUUAAAGAUUUCCACAGAAUGAGAAGUCUCCACUUUCCUUUAGGUUCUCAUUCCAGCCUCUGGUGAGUCAGGUCAAAGGGCCUUGAGCAAGAUCAGGCCUCCCAGUGUUGUUCCUGCAUCAGGGGAGGCUCUGUAUCUUUCUCAGCCUCCAGUGAGACCUGGUGAACCCUGCAUCUGGCUGGGGAGUCAGCCGAUCCACCCAGUUUUCUUCUCUGUUACAAUGUGAGCCAGGUGGCCAGGUGCAGGAAACUCAUGCUAGCGGGGGCCUGAGACUCCAUGUGAAAUGGAGCUGGCUGAGGAGGCCAUGUUGAUCUGCCCCCACGGAAAACCGGGAGCCUGGGUGCUGCACUUGCCUCUUAGGACUAGAACUAAUUGUUCUUAAAGAUCUUUCCAAAUACCAAUGAUGCAAAAUAUUUGGAUGGUUCACCAUAUUGUUCACCAUAUUUAAACUGUCAGAACCUUAAAUAUCUGAGCAAAACCUCAGCAAACAAAGGAUAUUUUGGGGACUUGUUAUGUAUGUUGCACAGCAGAGAGAUUUGUAGUCUAUACGACUUCCAAAUGCUGUAAACGAAGUAUUUCAGUGUUGUCAUUUUCAGCUAUAGACCGUCCUACGAUCAUUGCCUUUUCUUUCGCUAUUAAGAGAUGGCUCAUUCAUAAACAUUUCUACAGUUGUGUGGCAAACACAAAAUAGGCCCUGCGUGAUUCCAUUGGCUCUGACUGAGGAGAUGAUUUUUCACACAGUGAGAUUUAUCACGUUUAUCAAAUUUAUGACAGAACACAGAGAGGAUGAGGGGAUGUGGAGGUUGGAGGGAGAGCAGAUCUGAGUGAGUGAGGAAGGAAGCGCUUUCCCGAGCCUCAAAGGGCCUGUUGACAAGGUGUGUUGCCUAUAAGCUUGGAGUCAGGAUAGUCUGGGCCAUUUCCUCGGAUCCCUUCUUGCCCUGUGGGGUCUGGCCUCCUCCACUCUCACCCAGCCACCAGACCUGUAGGGAUAGUUAUACCACCAGCUGUUAUAGAAGACCUAAAAUAACAUCCUCUGUGUUCUCUAAUAAAGUUGAUAAAUCUCAGCUUGUGAAAAAAAUCUCCCAUAUGUUUUGUCUAAAUUUUCUUCUGCUUAACCUUGUUACUCCUGCCUUGCCUCCCUCAGACUGCCUGAGACAAUUACUCAGGGACAUUGUUUGAAUAAUUAGAGGCUGCAGAUAAUUCUCUUUAGCCUGCUUUCUUCCCUGUUCCCUACCCUGUGGUCUCCCUUUAGCCAGUUCUAAUUAGCUACUUUGAUCCUUCCUCCCAAUCUCUCCCUCUAGCUUGUUAAUUACAUUUCUCCCCCAUGAAUUCCUUCUAUACUGGCUUUGUCUAUCCAGUCGGAGGAGCUGAAAAUGAGAAUCUAAGGCCACUCAGUGGGAGGUCUUCUUUGUCCCUCAACACAGAUAGCUCCUCUUCCUUCUGAGAAGGAGGCAUUCUGUCUUAGCAGAAAAGUAAAAAUAAUAAUUUCUGUCAAGUGGUAUAUUAUGAUAAAAACAGCUGUUAUCCUAAUGCUUGGCAUUUGCCAGGAAGAGUGUGUGUGUGUGUGUGUGUGUGUGUGUGUGUAUGUGUGUGUUUACAUAUAUAAAAUCACAUUUCAUCCCCACAACAAUCCUAUGAGAUAAAUAUUAUUGUUAUACAUCCCUGUUUUACAAAAUCAGAAACUGAGGUCCAGAGAGGCUUAGUAACUUAGUCACACAGCUGAGAACACUGGAAUCUCGAACUUGCACCUAGGUCUCUCUGACUCCAGAGUAGCACUUAGUUUUCUGCUUUCUCGGUUUGGGCUUUUGGUGGGAAAAAAAAAAAAAAAGUCCAGGUCAUUGGCUUUUAAGCCCACCAAAAAACCGGCCAACCAACUCUGAGGUGAUUGUCAGCUUUUUACCCUCAGUGUAGAAGAGGCUUUCUGAAUUGAAAUUAUAAAACUGGCACAGAAGCAAACUGACAUAGUGUACGGGAUAUCUGGGCAGUUGGAAAUCUGCUUCUAGAAAAUAAAAAGGAACCAAUAAAUUCUUUACUUGCUUUAAUUCUUAAUUUUCUUUUCUGACCGGUUUCUCUCUCAGGAGGUUAAGGAAGCAAUAAGAAGGGCCUCACUGAAAUUAUAUUCUGAGCAACAAGAAGGAUUUGUCUGGUAAAAAAAAAAAAAAGUUUUGGAAACCUCAGCAGAAAGUGACUGUGUUUGGAGAAG